GAAUGAUAAUAAUACACGUAGCACAUCAUUUCACAUCACGACUGCUUUGGAGCUGACUCACGCACUGAGUCAUGUAUUCGGUCACCACAUGAAACCGCCAAUCAAAUACACGGAAAUGGUCGCGAGAACGGUGACGUAAUCAAUGAUCAAUGCUAUCCUUUGACUAUUUGGAAACAAAAGCGCAACAUAAAGGUCGUGGGUCAUUGACACCGACUGUAUGUAAGUGGAGCUGUUGGACAAGAUCUGCUUUCAUCUCCGGUUUACGCGGUUUUGGUGAGCAGGCUGAGGCACAUCUGUGGCUAGUUAACCUAACAGUGCAGAACUAAGUUGGAGAACGUCAGAUGAAUGAAUUUGUGUAGCAGGAAAGAGAGAGCCUGGUGUGUUUCCACGUUUUUUUUUCCUGAGGCCAUGGCAGCCAUGGAGUCAGAGGAAAACACCCAGUCCAGAGUGAUGUUCCAGCCCACGGGCAAAGUCGACGAGCCGGGCCACCGCAAGCUUGGCAAGCUGACCGUCAAGUACAACCGCAAGGACCUGCAGAGGAGGCUGGACAUUGAGGAGUGGAUAGACGAACAGCUGCACCUGCUCUUUGACUGCGCGGAAGAAGACAUCCCAGAGUUGGAGAUUGACAUCGAUGAGUUGCUGGAGCUAUCAGACGAGGGGCAAAGAAGUCGAGUACAGGUACGUGCAGUAUUGUAUGCUGACAGUGUUUUAGGAAAUGCUUUUAAACAUCGGUUGAACACAUACUUAAUCACUGUAAUAUUUGAUCUCACCUGCGCCUUCACAUUUUGUGGGAUAGAAGCUGAACUAACGCUGAACAUGUUGCAAUGUUUGAAAUAAUUAUUGGAAAAAUGCAUUGAGACCUAAUAGAAGCCCUGGCUGUGAUGUAAUCUGUUUUUGAGCUUAUUCAAGAUGUUUGAUGGGGUCACGGUGAGAAAUCGGCCCACCAAUGAUUCAUUCAUGAAACGAUAAGUGUCCUGACAGCUUUGACUGAUUUUUCUCUGUGCUUUUCUUCUCCUGCUUUCAGGAGUUGCUGCAGGAAUGCAGGAAGCCAACAGAGGAUUUUGUCAACGCGCUGCUCUACAGGAUAAAGGGACUUCGCAAAAUGUCAGGCCCCUUGAAGAAGUAAUUCUAGGUCAAAUCAAGAAUUGAGACAAUGGAUUCUCAUUGGUUCCA